GCUUAGAGUUUGAUCCUGGCUCAGGAUGAACGCUGGCGGCGUGCCUAACACAUGCAAGUCGAACGGGAAAUCUGGUUUCGAUCAGAUGGAGAGUGGCGCACGGGUGAGUAACACGUAGCUCAUCUACCCCGAAGAGCGGGAUAACGCACCGAAAGGUGUGCUAAUACCGCAUAAGCUCCCGGACUGUAGAGGUUUGGGAGAAAAGCUGAGGCGCUUUGGGAUGAGGCUGCGGCCCAUCAGCUAGUUGGUAGGGUAAAGGCCUACCAAGGCGACGACGGGUAGGGGGCCUGAGAGGGUGACCCCCCACACUGGGACUGAGACACGGCCCAGACUCCUACGGGAGGCAGCAGUGAGGAAUAUUGCUCAAUGGGCGCAAGCCUGAAGCAGCGACGCCGCGUGGGUGAUGAAGGCCUUCGGGUCGUAAAGCCCUUUUCUUGGUGACGAGAGAGGACGGUAGCCAAGGAAUAAGUGUCGGCUAACUACGUGCCAGCAGCCGCGGUAAAACGUAGGACGCAAGCGUUAUCCGGAAUUACUGGGCGUAAAGCGCGCGCAGGCGGGUCAGCAAGUCAUGCGUGAAAGCUCCCGGCUAAACUGGGAGAGGUCGGAUGAUACUGUUGAUCUGGAGGGUGUCAGAGGCGUGUGGAAUUCCGCGUGUAGUGGUGAAAUGCGUAGAUAUGCGGAGGAACACCAGUGGCGAAGGCGGCACGCUGGGACAUACCUGACGCUGAGGCGCGAAAGCAUGGGUAGCGAACGGGAUUAGAAACCCCGGUAGUCCAUGCCGUAAACGAUGUACACUAGAUGUUCGUGCGGCUGCGGUCGUGUGAGUGUCGAAAGCAACGCGCUAAGUGUACCGCCUGGGGAGUACGGUCGCAAGGCUAAAACUCAAAGGAAUU
rnacentral:rRNA from 1 species